AUUCUAUCUAAUGUUUUGAUUCAU
rnacentral:snRNA from 1 species